AUUCGUGAAUCAGAGAGGGGUUGUACAAAAUUCAUUGCUUCAACAUGGUCAACUCUAUACACAGUUGUGGACCCACAAGGAGAUGAGGAUGUGAGGUUUGGAAGAUUCAAAGCAAAGUACCUUGAGGACAAGACCAUAGCGGCAGACGUUAUGUGGCACAAAAUUCUAUAUUUUCUGUUUCCAAUAGUGGCAUCCAACCACUACUACCUGAUGUCUAUUAGCCCGCUGAUGGAAAGGUACGACAUCAUUGACAACUCAUCAGUGACUGUGAAGAAGGAAAACAAGUAUGGAUAUGUGAUU